UGAUAUAACCACUAAUCAGUUGAAAACAAUGGAUCCUGUGGAGCAGCAAACUAUAUUUACACUUUAUGCUAUUCUGUGCUUCCUACCAAUAUUAUUUUCAGCAGGGUUGUUGCCCCCUCUAGAUUGCCUCUUCUGCUGGCUACCAGAAACAUGGCUUGUCAUAUUCAAUGGUACAUCUGCCAGCACUUCUCUUUUGGGAACAUUGGUGCAGUUGGUAGUAACAGUAACUCUGACAGCUGUGAUACAUAAUGUACCACACCACAAUUUGACAUGGCUUGUUGCUACAGUUUCUGCUCUGCUCAGUUGCAAUGUUCUUGCGUUACAGAGAGGGGUUUAUAAAAGUCUAAAGUUUUGGAUGAGCUUAGCGUUCAGUACCUUCAUCAGUUUGACAAUAUCUAUCACAUCUCCUUUAAUGGAUAUACAGACUGAAAAGUUAGAAUACAUUUGUCUGAUUGUUGUGGCAAUGUCCUCUCUACUCAUUAUGAUUCAAAAUGUAUACUGUUUCAACCUGAUCAGGAAUCCUUUGUUUUGUGCGAUUGAUGCAUCAAAAUCAAUAAAAUGGGGAUUCAAGCUGUUGAAUAUGACAAAGUUUUCAGUGUGUCCAGUUGUGUUAUCCCUUUAUUACAACCAUUUAUUUAAAAGCUGUCAUAGUUACACUUGGUUCCAAACCGUCCUUCUGGG